AGCAGCCGCGGUAAUUCCAGCUCCAAUAGCGUAUAUUAAAGUUGUUGCAGUUAAAAAGCUCGUAGUUGAAUUUUGGAUUCUUCCAAUUGGUCCAUCUUUUAGAUGAGUACUGGUUGUGUGGGGUCUAUCCGCCUGGUGAUACGUAAUGUCCUUUAUUGGAUGUUUCGGGUAGUCAGGACCUUUACCUUGAAAAAAUUAGAGUGUUUAAAGCAGGCUUAUGCCGGAAUACAUUAGCAUGGAAUAAUAGAAUAGGACGAAGUUGUUUUAUUUGUUGGUUUCUAGGACAACCGUAAUGAUUAAUAGGGAUAGUUGGGGGCAUUAGUAUUCAAUUGUCAGAGGUGAAAUUCUUGGAUUUAUUGAAGACUAACUACUGCGAAAGCAUUUGCCAAGGAUGUUUUCAUUAAUCAAGAACGAAAGUUAGGGGAUCGAAGACGAUCAGAUACCGUCGUAGUCUUAACCAUAAACUAUGCCGACUAGGGAUCGGGCGAUGUUGUUUCCAUGACUCGCUCGGCACCUUAUG
rnacentral:sRNA from 1 species